UACGAAGGGGGCUAGCGUUGCUCGGAAUCACUGGGCGUAAAGCGCACGUAGGCGGCUUCUUAAGUCAGGGGUGAAAUCCUGGAGCUCAACUCCAGAACUGCCUUUGAUACUGGCGAGCUUCGAGUCCGGGAGAGGUGAGUGGAACUGCGAGUGUAGAGGUGAAAAUUCGUAGAUAUUCGCAAGAACACCAAUGGCGAAGGCGGAUCUCUGGACAAAUCCUGACGCUGAGGCGCGAAGGCUAGGGGAGCAAACGGGG
rnacentral:rRNA from 1 species